rnacentral:rRNA from 1 species
GACGAACGCUGGCGGCGUGCUUAACACAUGCAAGUCGAACGGAAAGGCCCUGCUUUUGUGGGGUGCUCGAGUGGCGAACGGGUGAGUAACACGUGCGUAACCUGCCCUUGACUUUGGGAUAACUUCAGGAAACUGGGGCUAAUACCGGCUAGGAGCCCCUGCUGCAUGGUGGGGGUUGGAAAGUUUCGGCGGUUGGGGUUGGACUCGCGGCUUAUCAGCUUGUUGGUGGGGUAGUGGCUUACCAAGGCUUUGACGGGUAGCCGGUCUGGGAGGGUGACCGGCCACAAUGGGACUGUGAUACGGCCCAGACUCCUACGGGAGGUAGCAGUGGGGUAUAAUGCACAAUGUGCGGAAGCCUGAUGCGACAACGCCGCGUGCGGGAGGGCGGCCGUCGGGUUGUAGACCGCUUUCGCGUGUGACGAAGCGUGAGUGACGGGAAUUUGUAAAGAAGCUCCGGCUAACUAGGUG